CCGCCGAUAGCUCAACGGUCAGAGCAGGCGACUCAUAAUCGCUUGGUUGCAGGUUCGAAUCCUGCUCGGCGGA
rnacentral:tRNA from 1 species